rnacentral:sRNA from 1 species
UAGUCUACUGCUUCGAAUGAGAUUUCACUUUAGUUUUAUGCAUCAUCUCUAGUGUUCCAAUGACCAGUUAGCAAUUUCUAAUAGAAAAAAUAUCACAAAGCGAAAGGAAUAUUUACCUGAUGAUAGUUAGCAGCAUUUUCAAUGUGAAUACCUAAACAUUCAUUGACUGUUUGAAUCAAAGACCAACUCUUACGUAUAGCUGAGACACAGUCCAAAAUUCAUAAAGACUGUGUCUCAGCUAUACGUAAGAGUUGGUCUUGGAUUCAAACAGUCAAUGAAUGUUUAGGUAUUCACAUUGAAAAUGCUGCUAACUAUCAUCAGUUCUACCAUGAUGUUCGCCACCUGGAAGAAAACAUGCUUUCAUUCUUGCUUUGGAUGGACAGUUCAACAGUUAGAGCUCAAGUCAAGACUCAAGAUCCUAAUGUCAUGUUAAAACAUUUCAGAGUAAGAUUA